CCUUACUCUGAAGCUGAGCCCUAAUGGCAUCCAUUGGGAGCUUUGCCUUCAAAGAAGUCUCAUGUGAGAGUAAGGAAAGAUGCACACAUCUGUUUAAAAGGGAGCUGUCAGAUGGGAGAUCACUGGCCAGUUCCUACCAUUAUCUUCCAGAACAAGACGUGUUGCUUUUAUGAGGAGCUGCAUGUGAUUCUCGGUGGCAACCUCACCACUAUCCCAAAACAUGCCAUGGAUACCUCCCAGGGACCCUGGGUGACCUCGAGCAACAAUGAUGAGCACAUUGUUGAAGAGAAGCAGGAGGAGAGUGCAAGGCAGGCAAGCAGAGGAUCCAUUCUCCCCGA